UGGGGAAUAUUGCACAAUGGGCGCAAGCCUGAUGCAGCCAUGCCGCGUGUGUGAAGAAGGCCUUCGGGUUGUAAAGCACUUUCAGCGAGGAGGAAGGUGGUGAGCUUAAUACGCUCAUCAAUUGACGUUACUCGCAGAAGAAGCACCGGCUAACUCCGUGCCAGCAGCCGCGGUAAUACGGAGGGUGCAAGCGUUAAUCGGAAUUACUGGGCGUAAAGCGCACGCAGGCGGUUUGUUAAGUCAGAUGUGAAAUCCCCGGGCUCAACCUGGGAACUGCAUUUGAAACUGGCAAGCUAGAGUCUCGUAGAGGGGGGUAGAAUUCCAGGUGUAGCGGUGAAAUGCGUAGAGAUCUGGAGGAAUACCGGUGGCGAAGGCGGCCCCCUGGACGAAGACUGACGCUCAGGUGCGAAAGCGUGGGGAGCAAAACAGGAUUAGAUACCCUGGUAGUCCACGCUGUAAAACGAUGUCGAUUUUGGAGGUUGUGCCCUUGAGGCGUGGCUUCCGGAGCUAACGCGUUAAAUCGACCGCCUGGGGAGUACGGCCGCAAGGUUAAAACUCAAAGGAAUUGAC
rnacentral:rRNA from 1 species